CCUGCCUUGUACUUCAUGCAGGUUGAACAGAAAUGUUUUCUAAGCAUGUAUUGUUACAGCCCUCUGAGAUGGUAUAAAAGAAUGAAAGAAGACAUGACCUGCCUUCCACGAGUUUCACAAAAGAGAUGGGAUGAACACAGUGUUCACUUCCACCUUCCACCCUUUCACUAUGAAGGACCCUCACCAGAUGGUGGCACCAUGCUCUCGGACUUCCCAGCCUCCAGAACUAAAAUAAUAUGGCCCAGUUCCUGGCUUUUGAAGAACUAGAGAAAAUCAUCAUCAUUGGUGCCUCCAAGGCUCUUUGGUUGGUUCUGCAAUCAUAGGAACCCUUACCUGGUCUCCUGAGACAUUCACCUCUCUCCACACCCUAGUACAACACCACCCACACACCUGAUGGCAGAGCUUUUAGGUGAGCUUCUCCAUCUUCUGGCUUAGAGUUACCCAGGAAUAAAGAAUAGCUCCUGUAGCUCUGAAUCCUUCAAAUCCCCCGAUUGGCCCUUAACUGACUUCCUUAGUGAAUCUGCAGACUUUUGGAUGGGAGACAAAUAGGCACAAACUAUACCUACAAUUCAAUGUAGGACAAAGGCUACCUGGUACAAUAUUAAUAUGUGCCUGCAUUGGAGAUUUUGGAAUCUUAGGACUUAAAGAAGGGUCUAAUUCAAUUACCUCGGUUCCAGAUGAGAAAAUGAAGGCCCAGAAAAGCAAGUGAUUUGCCUAAGAUCUCACAGUGACCAGUGAAGGACCAGAGCUGGACUAGGCUCUCCCGUCAGCAGUUAGGGCUCUUCCCAGUGUCCUUCCUCCUCUACAUGCUACUUGCCCUUCACUUUACAGAGUCCUAUCUUCUGCAGGGAAAUGCAUUGAUACAGUCCCCUGUGCUUUGAUCUUGGUGUUACAGUUACAUCUCUAGAGGAUUCUUACAUACCAUAGUAUGUUUCACAUUUGGUCAUCAUUGGAACUCUCUGUUUUUCUGUGCUCUUGCCUGGACUUCUUUCAAAAGGAAUCUAUUCAUUAACAAAUCUUUCAGAAAAAAAAAUGUCUGCAGCAUUAUCAGAAGUUAAUCAUUUAAAUCUAAAGGAGAGAGUAAAAGGUUAGGUAUAGUGGAUUAAAGAGUUCUUUUUUCGAAUGGGCGCGGUGGCUCACGCCUGUAAUCCCAGCAUUUUGGGAGGCUGCGGUGGAUGGAUCAUCUGAGGUCGGGAGUUCGAGACCAGCCUGACUAACAUGGUGAAAGCCUGUCUUUACUGAAAAAUGCAAAAAUUAGCCGGGCAUGGUGGUGCACGCCUGUAAUCCCAGCCACUCGGGAGGCUGAGGCAGGAGAAUUGCCUGAACCCGGGAGGCAGAGGUUGCAGUGAGCUGAGAUUGUGCCAUUGCACUCCAGGAUGGGCAACAAGAGUGAAACUCCGUCACAGAAAAAAAAAAAAGAGUUCUUUUUUCCAGCUGAAGAUAGUCAAGCGGGUUGUUUUCUACUGUCUUCCUUGGAAAGCGUCUGCUUUCUUGACCUGUCCUCCAAUUCUGCAUAUUUGAACCAGAUUGAUUGAGGGACACUGGGAUGAUUUUGAAAGUCCUCCUGCAUGGCAUCUCACAAUUUCUCAGGGACGGGUAAAUUGAAGGAAGCAAAAAGCAGACAAGUUCUAUGGGAUUUGCUGGCAUUGAUUUCCCAGGGUGGCAAAGUGCUAAGAACUAAACCUUUAAAGCUAACAAAAUGUACUGAUGUCUUUGCAAAGUAUCCAAGACCAACAAGAAAGUAAUUUCCCACCUCAGCCUACCACCACCCAGAAAAGGAGCACAGAGAUGGGGGAGAGAGUGGCUGCAUCUGGCAUUCAGCCAGAGGAGUCCGUGCAGGGAUUCUGGAUCCCUCUUCCCCCACCCCACUGCCCUUCCCCCUCCACCCCAGCAUUUUGGAGAAGCAAGAAACUGUAAUGAUGCAGCUCCCUCAAGUGUCACAUGAACAUAGUGGAAAGAGCCUCCUGAGGUAAAUAUGCCAUGCAGACAGAAACAAGCAAUGGCUCAACAGCAAUGUAUGAGGUCCAAGGACCAGGACCAAAGGGAAAACAGCCAUCUCACCAGACACCUGCCUAGGACCAGAUGCGUCAUCUCCAAUAUUAGCUAACUCCCUGGAACCUGGACUCAAGGUGUGAAAUAAAGGCUAAUGGGAAACCGCAGGAGUCAAAAGGAGGGGGCAGGAUUAUUGAGGAUUCAGGCUGUUGAGAAAUGAAAGUUUGGAUCACUCCCCAGAUAAAGAACCUUGACCAUUUAAGGGCAAUGGAAAUAUAGAAUAGGCAGUAGAAGAAGGAAGCCAUAGAUACCAACUAUGGCCUCUCAAUCAAUUACAAAACUGAGAAUUCUGACAGUUUUGUGUAUUUCCUCUUUGCAUGUGAUGUAUAUGUGUGUAUUUGUAUAUAUUAACCAUUUUCCUUUUUCUCUCCUUCUCAUUAUUUUGUGAAAGUUGUUGAAUGUAAACUCGACAAUUUAGCCUUUAGGUAAGAGAAUAUUCAGUGGGACUUUGAUUUGAGGAGUAUUUAAGACAGCCAGAUGAGACUACGAUAACUGUUGGAACUGUGUGUCUCCUCAUUUGGGGAAAGGGGUGAGAACUCUGCAUUUCUCUGAAGAACAGAGUUGACUUUGUGUUAUAGAGAGUUCAAAUAUAUAUAAAAUGAUGCAUGUGGAAGCUAAGAAGCCAAAGGAGUUCACCAAGACAGUUAUCAGUAUAUUGCCUCUCCGCUCCAAAUCCACCCUUCUUUGCCCUGUUGCAUGAUACUAAUCUGGCUCCUCGGUCAGCCAGUGCAAUGUCAUCUGUUGCUGGUAGAGUGUAGGGGAGACACUACAAGGUAUAGUAAAGGGGUCAGAUGCGGUGUCUCAUGCCUGUAAUCACAGCCCUUUGGGAGGCAGAGGCAGGAGGAUCACCUGAGGCCAGGAGUUUGAGACCAGCCUGGACAACAUGGUAAAACCCCAUCUCUACUAAAAAUACAAAAUUAGCACGCACCUGUAAUCCCAGCUACUCGGGAGGCUGAGGCAGGAGAAUCACUUGAACCUGGGAGGUGGAGGUUGCAGUGAGCCAAGAUCGCAUCAUUGCACUCCAGCCAGGGAAAAAACACAAAACUCUGUCUCAAAAAAAUAAAUAAAUAAAAUAAAAUAAAACAAGGUAUAGCAAAUAAAGGAGCAUUCCUUCUUGAUUCUUCCUGGUUCUUGUUACCUGUGGCCGCCACCAGUGGUGUAUGGGAGAGUCACCCUACAGUGAGUUCCACCAGCACCUAGUGAGGGCUUCCUACUGAGUUUUAUUGUCACCCAAGCAGGCAAUUUCCUUGCCAGCAGUAUGCAGGAGACCCAGUGAUGACCACCUUCCAGUGGGUUUUUCCAGCACCCUAGAAGGCACUUUUUUGACCACAGUGCUGAUCCACUGGCACCCAACAGCCAGUACCCUACUCACCAGGCCUGGCCUGUGGCACCUCAAAGAACUUUUCUAUCGUGUGGGCCACAGCACCACUCUCCAACAAGGUCUGAAUCUCAGCCUUGAGGUGUGAAAGACCCUUCCAUGUUUGUUCUUUUCUUGGGUAUCCUCCCUCAGUCCUAGAAGUAGCAGCUCUUCCCUAUGUUUGCUAUUUCUGUGUUAUUUAGCAUACAAUUUACCCCUUUUGUAGUUUAUCACAUUUUGCCAGUUAAUAAUUCUUUAUAGUAAAUUUUCCCUCUUCAAAUUACUAUCUCUCACCAAACACUGACUUCUAUAUCCUCCUCAGACGCUGAGUGACACAACCCCCUUCAGAAAAGAAUCCCUUUCACCCUGCCCUUCAUGAUGAACACUCUCAACAAAUUAGGUAUAGCAGGAACAUACCUUAACAUAAUAAAGGCCAUAUAUGGCGAGCCCACAGCUAACAUCAUACUGAAUGGGGAAUAACUGAAAGCCUUUCCUCUAAGAACUAGAAUAAGACAAGGACACCUACUCUCAGCACUCUUAUUCGGCAUUAUACUGGAAGUCCUAGCCAGACUUUCUCUUUCCGGAAAGAGAAAGAAAUGAAAGGCAUCCAAACUGGAAAACAGGAUGCCAGCUAGGUGUGGUGGCUCAAGCCUGUAAUCCCAGCAAUUCGGGAGGCUGAGGUGGGCAGAUCGCUUGAACCCAGGAGUUCAAAUCCAGACUAGACAACAUGAUGAAACCCUGUCUCUAUGAAAAAUACAAAAAUUAGCCAGGUGUGGUGGCACACACCUGUAGUCCCAACUACUCAGGAGGCUGAGGUGGGAGGAUCACUUGAGCCUGGGAAAUAGAGGAUGCAGUGAGUCAAGAUCACACCAGAGCACUCCAGCCUGGAUGACAGAGAGAGAUUCCAAUUCAAAAAAACAAAGGAAGAAGCCAAAUUGUCUCUACUUCAGAUGACAUGAUUUUACAAAUUCAGUAAUGUUACAAGACACAAAAUGAAUAUAAAAAAUCAGUUGUGUUUUUAUACACCAAUAACCAACUAACUGAAAAAGAAAUCAAGAAAGCAACCUCAUUUAUAACUUCAAAAAAGUCUCAGGGAUAAAUUUAGCCAAGGAGGUGAAAGAUUUCUAUGAAAGCCAAAACAAAACAAAACAAAAAACGCUACACCCUGAUGAACAAAAUUGAAGAGGAUACCAAAAAAUAGAAAGACAUAUUAUGCUCAUGAAUUGGAACAAUUAAUAUUGUUAAAAAUGACUAUAAUACCCAAGGUAAGCUAUAGAUUUAAUGCAAUUCCUAUCAAGAUACUAAUGACAUUCUUUGAAUCAAUAGAGAAAACAAUCCUAGAAUUCACAUAGAACCAUAAAAGAGCCCAAAUAGCAGCAAUACUCAGUAAAAAGAACAAAGCUGAAGCCAAUCACACUAACACAUUUCAGAAUAUACUACAAAGCUAUAGCAACCAAAACACUAUGCUAUUGGUAUGAAAACAGAUACACAGACCAAUGGAACAGAAUAGAGAAUCCAGAAAUAAAUUCACAUAUUUACAGCCAGCCAAUUUUUGACAAAGUUGCCAGGAACAUACACUGAGGAAAGGACAUUCUUUUCAAUAAAUUGUGCUAAGAAAACUGGAUAUUCACAUGCAGAAGAAUGAAACUAGACCUCUAUCUCUCACAAUGUAUAAAAAUCAAUUCAAAAUGGAUUAAAGACUUAAAUACAAGACCUGAAACUAUAAAACUACUAAAAGAAAACAUAGAGGAAAUGCUUCAAGAUAUUGAUCUAGGCAAAGAUUUUAUGGCUAAGACUUCAAAAGCAGGGGCAACCAAAACAAAAAUAGACAAAUGGAACGACAUUAAACUAAAAAGCUUCUGCGCAGGAAAGGAAACAAUCAACAGAGUGAAGAGAUAACAUGAACAAUGGGGAAAAAAUUGCUAACUAUUCAUCCAACAAGGGACUAAUAUCCAGAAUAUACAUAGAACUCAAACAACUCGACAGCAAAGAAUCAAAUAAUCUCACUAAAAAGUGAGCAAAGGACAUGAAUAGACAUUUCUAAAAAGACAAACAAAUGGCUAACAGGUUUAGGAAAAACUGCUCAACAUCACGGAUCAUCAGGAAAAUACAGAUCAAAACCACAAUGAGAUACCAUCUCACCCCAGUUAGAAUGGUCAUUAUCAAAGUCAAAAAAUAACACAUGCUGGUGAUUAUGUGGAGAAAAGGGAACUCUUUAUGCAUUGUUGGGAAUGUAGAUUAGUACAACUACUAUGGAAAACAGUAUGAAAGUGUCUUUAAAAACUAAAAAUAGAACUACCGUCUGACCCAGCAAUCCCACUACUGUCUAUCUGUCCAAAGGAGAGGAAAUCAAUAAAUCAAAGGGAUAACUGUACCCCCAUAUUUAUUGCUGCCCUAUUCACAAUAGCCAAGGUAUGAAAUCAACCUAAGUGUCCAUCAACAGAUGAAUGAAUAAAGAAAAUAUGGUAUAUAUACACAACAAAAUACUAUUCAGCCAUUAAAAAUGAAAUCUCGUCAUAUGCGGCAACAGAGAUGGAAUUGCAAGUCAUUAUGUUUAGUGAAAUAAACCAGGCACAGAAAAACAAGUAUCACAUGUUCCCACUCAUAUGUGGGAGCUAAAAAGUUGAUCUCAUGGAGGUAGGGAAUAGAAUGAUAGAUACCAGAGGCUGGGAAAGGGCUGGGGGGAUGAGCAGAGAUUGGUUAAUGGGUACAAACAUACAGUUAUGUGGAAGAAAUAAGUUCUAGUGUUUAAUAGCACAAUAGAGUGUCUAUAGUUAACAAAAAAUAUAUUGCAUAUUUCAAAAUAGCUGAAAGAGAAGAUCUGAAAUGUUCCAAACACAAAGAAAUAACAAAUGCUUGAGGUAAUGGAUUUUCUAAAUAUGCUGAUUUGAUCAUUAUAUACUGUAUGCAUGUAUCAAACUAUCACAUGUACCUGAUACAUACCAAUAUUAUGUAUUAAUAAAAAUUAAUAAAUAAUAAGUAAUAAACUUUAAAAAUAAUGUCCUUUAGAAAAGUUCUAAUUUUUUCCACAAAAACUGAUAGUGUUAAAAAAUUAUAGCACCUCAAAAAAGACCUUUCACAAAAUAGAUGCUCAGAAAAUUCAUUGAAUUUUUGCCAAAUAAUUAUAAUUGUAAAAUUCUCCUUUUGCAAGGCUGUGAAGAAAUUGGAAUCCUCAUGCCAUACUUACUGGUGAGAUUGUAAGAUGAUGCAGUCACUUUGCAAACAGUCUGGAAAUUCCUCAAAAUAUUAAACAUAGAGUCACCCUAUGACCCAGUAAUUCUAUUUCUAGAUAUGUACCCAAAAGAAAUGGAAACAUAAUGCCACACAAAAACUUGUUCACAAAUGUUCAUGGCAGCAUUGUUCAUAGUAGCCAAAAAGUGAAAACCAUCCAAAUAUUCAUCAGGUGAUGAAUGGAUAAAUAAAGAUGUGGAAUACACAUACAAUGGAAUAUUACUCAGCUAUAAAAGGGAAAGACACUUACAUAUGCUACAUGAUCAAUGUGAAAGCAUUAUACUAAGUGAAAGAAGCCAGAGCCAGUCACAAAAUACCACAUAUCGUAUGAUGCCAUUUAUAGGAAAUGUCUAGAAUAGACAAGUCUAUGAGGACAGAAAGUUGUUUAGUGGUUGCCUAGGACUGAGGGUACAGGGUGGCAAGAGGGAGCUGCCAGGAAUGCAACAUGCUAAUGAAUAUGAAGUUUCUUUUGGGGUUCUAACAUGUUCUAGAAUUAGAUGGUGGUGAUGGUUGCACAACUCUGUGGUUAUACUAAAUAAAUGAACUGUACACUUUAAAUAGAUCUAAAUGUAUGUAAAUUAUAUCAUAAUGUCUGGGAUUUAUUAAUUGCCUUUUAAAUGUGGCUUUAGUUCUGUCUGUAUACUUCAUGAAAUGUAUCAAAGUAAUGCUAAAAUAAAACCAAUAAUU